rnacentral:lncRNA from 1 species
UAAAUUAUUAUAAGUCAUUUAAAAAUAAUAUGACAGAUACUUUCAGAUAUUGAACUUUAGAAUAGAGUCUUAGACUCGAUAAUUACCCGAUAAAGCUAUCGGUACACCGACAUGUUUCAGAAAUUGAUCUGGACUUAGAUAAUUUGAUUAGAUAUGUGUUUGUUUGUGAUCCAAUGACUGUUGAACAUGUGUGGUAAUAUGAUUAGGUUUAUAUGCUGACUGUAAUAAGCAGUAUUAUGUGCU